rnacentral:rRNA from 1 species
CCUACGGGAGGCAGCAGUGAGGAAUAUUGGUCAAUGGCCGGAAGGCUGAACCAGCCAUGCCGCGUGAAGGUCAGUGCCCUAUGGGCGUUAAACUUCUUUUGUGCGGGAGCAAUAAUGGUCACGUGUGGCCAGACGAGAGUACCGUACGAAUAAGCAUCGGCUAACUCCGUGCCAGCAGCCGCGGUAAUACGGGGGAUGCAAGCGUUAUACGGAUUUAUUGGGGUUAAAGGGUGCGUAGGCUGUGAGGUAAGUCAGCGGUGAAAUGCCCCCGCGCAACGGGGUGAAGUGCCAUUGAUACUGCCUUGCUGGAAUGCGGAUGCCGUAGGAGGAAUGUGUGGUGUAGCGGUGAAAUGCAUAGAUAUCACACAGAACACCGAUUGCGAAGGCAUCUCACGAAGCCGCGAUUGACGCUGAUGCACGAAAGCGUGGGUAUCAAACAGGAUUAGAUACCCCAGUAGUC